ACUCAAAGGAAUAGACGGGGGCCCGCACAAGCGGAGGAACAUGUGGUUUAAUUCGAUGAUACGCGAGGAACCUUACCUGGGCUAGAACGCUUCUGGAAUCAUGCCGAAAGGUGUGAGCCGGCAACGGCCGGGAGCGAGGUGCUGCAUGGUUGUCGUCAGCUCGUGCCGUGAGGUGUCGGGUUAAGUCCCAUAACGAGCGCAACCCCUACCGUUAGUUGCCAGCGGGUCAAGCCGGGCACUCUAAGGGAACUGCCGGCGUAAGCCGCGAGGAAGGCGGGGAUGACGUCAAAUCAGCACGGCCCUUACGUCCAGGGCUACACACGUGUUACAAUGGCCGGUACAGAGGGCAGCCACCCCGCGAGGGGGCGCGAAUCCCGAAAGCCGGUCUCAGUUCGGAUCGGAGUCUGGAACCCGACUCCGUGAAGCUGGAUUCGCUAGUAAUCGCGCAUCAGCCAUGGCGCGGUGAAUACGUUCCCGGGCCUUGUACACACCGCCCGU
rnacentral:rRNA from 1 species